rnacentral:rRNA from 1 species
GCUAUCACUAUAGGAUGGGCCCGCGGCGCAUUAGCUAGUUGGUGGGGUAACGGCCUACCAAGGCGACGAUGCGUAGCCGACCUGAGAGGGUGAUCGGCCACACUGGGACUGAGACACGGCCCAGACUCCUACGGGAGGCAGCAGUAGGGAAUCUUCCGCAAUGGACGAAAGUCUGACGGAGCAACGCCGCGUGAGCGAAGAAGGCCUUCGGGUCGUAAAGCUCUGUUGUCAGGGAAGAACAAGUACCGGAGUAACUGCCGGUACCUUGACGGUACCUGACGAGAAAG